AGAUUUAAGUGAUAGGCUUAGUUUUCUUAAUCUUGCUACAUUUUUCACCACACCACUUUUCAGAUUAUUCUUUAAUCAGAACUAUUUCAAGUAGAUUAAAAAAUACUAGGUGACAUGGAUAUGUGAUAUUCCAACUCAUGAGGUAUGAACUGUGGAUGAUAUUAACAUAUUCAUAGGAGGAACAAAAUAAAAAACACUGCCUUGGUCCCAUUCAGUAUUGUACUAACAUUUUGGGCAAACCAAGGUUUGGAUGAAGAAUACCCAAGUUCAAAAAGAACUAUUAUCUAGUUCUAUAAAAAGAGUGUAUGUAAAUUAUGAACAAAAUGUCAUGCUUACUAAUAAGCUUAAUCUUUUCCAGUGGAAAGGCCUGUUCUUGGUAUUCUCAGUAGAUCCUAAUAUGUCCAUUAAUAGUGGCUGUUGCUGAAGAAAAGGACUAUCAGAGGGGAGAGAGACUUUUACUUAUCCUUUUAUACCCGUCUAUUCAUUCUACUUGGUUUUUUCCUUUGGUUUUUUGUUUUGUUUUGCCCCACAGAAUAAUCCCUUUCAUAAAUCAAAAAAGAAAAAUUGUUCAGCAUCUCCAAAUUGCCUGACUGUAGUGGGAAAACAAAAUUUCCCACUGUUGUGGGGAAAAAAAUGUAAGACAUAGCACCUUUUCUUCCACUCAUAUACUUAUGGAAAAUCUCCCAGGUGCCCAAUGGCUUAUUUUCCUAAGAGGACACAUUAUUGAAACUCGUAUUACACACUAAAAUACCAAUUAUUAGUGCUUGGGAGAUUAAAGAGGUAGGUAAAUGGAAUAAUUAAAAGUCCUAUUUAUUUAGCAACUACUGUGUACCAGGGCAGUCACUGGACAUUUUUUCUAACACUUGAAUAAGGUACUAUUAUCCCAAUGACCAGCAAAGUAAAACGACUUGUGCUAGAACUGGAAUUCAAAUCUGGACCUGUUGGACUCCAUAACCAUAUCUUUCCACUAUACCUCAAUACCUUUUACUAGAAAAAGUCAAGACCUAGAUGACAAUAGUGAAUGGUCAGAGAUAUGACUUAUUGCUUAUUUCUUAUUUGUCUAUAACAGUAUUACAGUUUUUGCUAUUUCCAUUAAAAAUUACAGAUGUAUUUGCAGUUAACAUAACAAGAUUGUCAGUGUUAAGAUUCAAUAUGUCUAUCUUCAUAUAGGAUACUCAUUAACCCACCUGAAAACAUGGAAGAAACCAGCUCUAAGUUUCCUGUUUUUAUCAAAUUUGUUCCUCGCCCUUUAUACUGGUUUAGUUCAUCAACGAGGUACUCUUGAUGUCAUGAGUCAUAUUCAAAAAGUCUGUUACAACAAUCCCAAUAAAUCUUCAGCUUCAAUAUUUAUAAUGAUGCCUUGCCACUCUACUCCUUAUUACAGCCAUGUUCACUGCCCACUUCCCAUGAGAUUUCUCCAGUGCCCCCCAGACCUGACUGGAAAAAGUCAUUAUCUUGAUGAAGCAGAUGUAUUUUACCUAAAUCCCUUAAACUGGUUACAUAGAGAGUUUCAUGAUGAUGCAUCAUUGCCUACUCACUUGAUCACCUUCAGCAUUUUGGAAGAGGAAAUAAGCGCUUUCCUAAUUUCAAGCAAUUAUAAAAGAACUGCUGUUUUCUUCCACACUCACUUGCCAGAGGGUCGAAUUGGAAGUCACGUAUAUGUCUAUGAACGGAAGUUAAAAGGGAAAUUCAACAUGAAGAUGAAAUUCUGAACUUUCCUAGAUAAAUUAACAUUGCUGGGUGGAAAUAUUCAGAUGCUGCUUAAAUACUUCGGUAAACACUGGGUAAGAUUCAUGGAACUUAGAAAAAAGCUGUAUGAACUGCUUUACCAAAUAUCACUACUGAGGAAAUGUAUAAAAUACCACAUAGUAUAAAAUUACAUGUUAAUACAAUGCCAGAUUUUAAAUAAAGACCUUUAGUUUUCCUC
rnacentral:sRNA from 1 species